GACGAACGCUGGCGGCGUGCCUAAUACAUGCAAGUCGAGCGGACCUCUUCGGAGGUCAGCGGCGGACGGGUGAGUAACACGUGGGCAACCUGCCUGUAAGACUGGGAUAACACCGGGAAACCGGUGCUAAUACCGGAUAAUCCUUUUCCUCACAUGAGGGGAAGCUGAAAGACGGUUUCGGCUGUCACUUACAGAUGGGCCCGCGGCGCAUUAGCUAGUUGGUGGGGUAACGGCCCACCAAGGCGACGAUGCGUAGCCGACCUGAGAGGGUGGUCGGCCACACUGGGACGGAGACACGGCCCAGACUCCUACGGGAGGCAGCAGUAGGGAAUCUUCCGCAAUGGACGAAAGUCUGACGGAGCAACGCCGCGUGAGCGAAGAAGGCCUUCGGGUCGUAAAGCUCUGUUGUCAGGGAAGAACACGUACCGGAGUAACUGCCGGUACCUUGACGGUACCUGACCAGAAAGCCACGGCUAACUACGUGCCAGCCGCCGCCGUAAAAC
rnacentral:rRNA from 1 species